CAAAUUGUCUUCGAGGAAGUUUCCGCUCCUGGUUGUCUGUGAAUGUGAGGCAAAGCCAGGAGCCAUUUUGGAAGAUGGAAAACAUCUGGGGAGUGCAGAGCACACUGGAUUAGAAGGUAGAAUUUGUGCAAAUAGAAAACAAAACACCAAGGAAGAGUGAGUGCAAGUGAAGGAACAUACACAAGGUCAGAAGGAACUUGGAGAAUAUCAGAGCAGCAGCCCAUGAAUUCACCUGAGAAGGGCCGAGUCCUCCUGCAAAUCAGCUGAGGAAUGAGGUACCGUCUGCCGUGUGGACACAUUAGUUUCAUUAGGAGCAUCCUUAAUGGCCUUGGUCCCUCUGUGCUUUAAAACUUUGAGUCAACUCUU
rnacentral:lncRNA from 1 species